GAAGUGCGAUAAGCAAUGCGAAUUGCAGAAUUCCGCGAAUCAUCAGAUCUUUGAACGCAAAUGGCGCCAGAGGGAUAUCCUUUUGGCAUGUCUGUUUCAGUGUCUGAGAGGUUUCACCUUUAUCUUAAUGUGAUUGACUCGUGUUGUUGGGCAACCGACUGCACAGUCUCUCAUGAAAGAUGCGCGAGUGGAUCUUUCGGUCCAAUGAAGUGGUCACAUCACUCGUAUGUGAUUUCAUUGGAAGCACCGAAUUAUCCGCUACACUCGCGGUUCCUGUAUAAUAGCAUCACACAUACGUGAUGUUGUUAUUACUAACUCUCUACACCCUGCAUCUGAGACAGGCAAGAUCACCCGCUGAACUUAA
rnacentral:misc_RNA from 1 species